AAUAUUUGACAAUGGGCGCAAGCCUGAUCCAGCCAUGCCGCGUGAGUGAAGAAGGCACUAGGUUUGUAAAGCUCGUUCACUAGAGAAGAUGAUGACGGUAGCGGGCGACGAAGCCACGGCCAACUCCGUUCCAGCAGCCGCGGUACUACGGAGGGGGCUAGCGUUGUUCGGAUUUACUGGACGUAAAGGGCGCGUAGGCGGAUGUUCGCGUCAGAGGUGAAAGCCCCGGGCUCAACCUGGGAACUGCCAUUGAAACGGGACAUCUUGAGUUCGGGAGAGGGUAGCGGAAUUCCCAGUGUAGAGGUGAAAUUCGUAGAUAUUGGGAAGAACACCGGUGGCGAAGGCGGCUACCUGGCCCGAUACUGACGCUGAGGCGCGAAAGCGUGGGGAGCAAACA
rnacentral:rRNA from 1 species